UACGUAGGGUGCAAGCGUUGUCCGGAAUUAUUGGGCGUAAAGAGCUCGUAGGCGGUUUGUCGCGUCUGCUGUGAAAACCCGAGGCUCAACCUCGGGCUUGCAGUGGGUACGGGCAGACUAGAGUGCGGUAGGGGAGAUUGGAAUUCCUGGUGUAGCGGUGGAAUGCGCAGAUAUCAGGAGGAACACCAAUGGCGAAGGCAGAUCUCUGGGCCGUAACUGACGCUGAGGAGCGAAAGCGUGGGGAGCGAACAGG
rnacentral:rRNA from 1 species